GAUCCUGGCUCAGAUUGAACGCUGGCGGCAUGCUUUACACAUGCAAGUCGAACGGCAGCACAGGGAGCUUGCUCCCGGGUGGCGAGUGGCGCACGGGUGAGUAAUACAUCGGAACGUGUCCUGUUGUGGGGGGAUAACUGCUCGAAAGGCCUGCUAAUACCGCAUGAUGCAGUUGGACCGCAUGGUCCUGACUGCCAAAGAUUUAUCGCUCUGAGAUGGCCUCGCGUCUGAUUAGCUUGUUGGCGGGGUAAUGGCCCACCAAGGCGACGAUCAGUAGCCGGACUGAGAGGUUGGCCGGCCACAUUGGGACUGAGACACGGCCCAGACUCCUACGGGAGGCAGCAGUGGGGAAUAUUGGGCAAUGGGCGCAAGCCUGACCCAGCAACGCCGCGUGAAGGAAGAAGGCUUUCGGGUUGUAAACUUCUUUUCUCAGGGACGAACAAAUGACGGUACCUGAGGAAUAAGCCACGGCUAACUACGUG
rnacentral:rRNA from 1 species